AAGAUUGUACUUCACAGAUUUCUAUAAGAGUUGAUCUUAUUCUCCCUGCUUAAUAUGAGAAUUGAUGUAAUCACGGCGAGGGCAACAGCCCUCUUUCUUGAGCGUGAGAACGACAUGAAUUCCCCAGGUAUUCGUGAUCCUUCCCAUCGAUGAUCGCUCGUUCAUUACAUUUGUUAGUUAUCGAUAAUGAGAGGAAGAGCUUUCUGAGCGAU
rnacentral:snoRNA from 1 species